CUUUUGUGAUUCUUAAUCAGAGAAUCACAGAAUGGUUUGGGUUGGAAGGGACCUUAAAGAUCCAGUUCCAAUCUCUCUGCCAUGGGUGGGGACACCUUUCCACUAGACCAGGUUGCUCAAAGCCCCGUCCAGCCUGGCCUUGAACACUUCAGGCAUGGGCAACCACAGUUUCUCUGGCAAUCUGUGCCAGUGUCUCACCACCCUCACAGGGAAGAAUUUA